AGAGUUUGAUCCUGGCUCAGGAUGAACGCUGGCGGCGUGCCUAAUACAUGCAAGUCGAGCGAACCACUUCGGUGGUGAGCGGCGAACGGGUGAGUAACACGUAGGUGAUCUGCCCAUCAGACGGGGACAACGAUUGGAAACGAUCGCUAAUACCGGAUAGGACGAAAGUUUAAAGGUGCUUCGGCACCACUGAUGGAUGAGCCUGCGGCGCAUUAGCUAGUUGGUAGGGUAAAGGCCUACCAAGGCGACGAUGCGUAGCCGACCUGAGAGGGUGAACGGCCACACUGGGACUGAGACACGGCCCAGACUCCUACGGGAGGCAGCAGUAGGGAAUCUUCGGCAAUGGGGGCAACCCUGACCGAGCAACGCCGCGUGAGUGAAGAAGGUUUUCGGAUCGUAAAGCUCUGUUGUAAGUCAAGAACGAGUGUGAGAGUGGAAAGUUCACACUGUGACGGUAGCUUACCAGAAAGGGACGGCUAACUACGUGCCAGCAGCCGCGGUAAUACGUAGGUCCCGAGCGUUGUCCGGAUUUAUUGGGCGUAAAGCGAGCGCAGGCGGUUUGAUAAGUCUGAAGUUAAAGGCUGUGGCUCAACCAUAGUUCGCUUUGGAAACUGUCAAACUUGAGUGCAGAAGGGGAGAGUGGAAUUCCAUGUGUAGCGGUGAAAUGCGUAGAUAUAUGGAGGAACACCGGUGGCGAAAGCGGCUCUCUGGUCUGUAACUGACGCUGAGGCUCGAAAGCGUGGGGAGCGAACAGGAUUAGAUACCCUGGUAGUCCACGCCGUAAACGAUGAGUGCUAGGUGUUGGAUCCUUUCCGGGAUUCAGUGCCGCAGCUAACGCAUUAAGCACUCCGCCUGGGGAGUACGACCGCAAGGUUGAAACUCAAAGGAAUUGACGGGGGCCCGCACAAGCGGUGGAGCAUGUGGUUUAAUUCGAAGCAACGCGAAGAACCUUACCAAGUCUUGACAUCCCGAUGACAGAACAUGUAAUGUAUUUUCUCUUCGGAGCAUCGGUGACAGGUGGUGCAUGGUUGUCGUCAGCUCGUGUCGUGAGAUGUUGGGUUAAGUC
rnacentral:rRNA from 1 species